UUGGCAAUCGAGCCUCAGGAUGCAGGGUA
rnacentral:piRNA from 1 species